UCUCAACCUGUGGGUCCCCAGAUGUUGGACUACAACUCCCAUCAUCCCUGAGCUCUGGCCUUGCUAGCUAGGGGUGGUGGGAGUUGUAGUUCAAAAACAUCUGGGGACCCACAGGUUGAGAA